rnacentral:tRNA from 1 species
GGGGGCGUAGCGUAGCUGGCUUAACGCAUCAGAUUGUCGAUCUGAGGAUCGCGGGUUCGAAUCCCGUCGUCCCCGCCA